GAUUUGAUAACUUUGCCAUCUCAUCUCCUUUAUUUUUCUUUUUUCACGGCUUACACAUUCUGACUUGGUUUAUUUGUGAUUUUGCACGAAGAAAUUGCAUUAUUGACAAGAAUGCAAAGAUUGGAAAAGACAUCGUCAUUGCAAAUAAAGAUGGUGUUGAAGAAGCAGAUAGGUCUGAUGAAGGGUUCUACAUUAGGUCGGGAAUCACAGUCAUAUUGAAGAAUGCAACAAUUAAAGACGGAACAAGCAUAUAAGAUGAAACUUCUCGUCGCUUCCACAAAAAGAGUAGGCUAGUUCUUUCUACGUAUAUAAACCUUGAGAAUUUAACAAUUUAACCGUAGUACCUGAAUAAGUAGAUUUUGUACUUGAUUCUAAGUUGGUUAUGGAAACAUGUUUACAAUGUGGUUCUUGAGAUUUUUCUAGCUAGAAAUAUCGUUCUCGGUAAAAUUAUAUUUUCCUUUCUA